rnacentral:rRNA from 1 species
UACGUAGGGUGCAAGCGUUGUCCGGAAUUGUUGGGCGUAAAGAGCUCGUAGGCGGUUUGUCGCGUCGAAUGUGAAAACUCGGGGCUUAACCCCGGGCCUGCAGUGGGUACGGGCAGACUAGAGUGCGGUAGGGGAGACUGGAAUUCCUGGUGUAGCGGUGAAAUGCGCAGAUAUCAGGAGGAACACCGGUGGCGAAGGCGGGUCUCUGGGCCGUAACUGACGCUGAGGAGCGAAAGCAUGGGGAGCGAACAGG